rnacentral:rRNA from 1 species
GACGAACGCUGGCGGCGUGCUUAACACAUGCAAGUCGAACGGAAAGGCCCUGCUUUUGUGGGGUGCUCGAGUGGCGAACGGGUGAGUAACACGUGAGUAACCUGCCCUUGACUUUGGGAUAACUUCAGGAAACUGGGGCUAAUACCGGAUAGGAGCUCCUGCUGCAUGGUGGGGGUUGGAAAGUUUCGGCGGUUGGGGAUGGACUCGCGGCUUAUCAGCUUGUUGGUGGGGUAGUGGCUUACCAAGGCUUUGACGGGUAGCCGGCCUGAGAGGGUGACCGGCCACAUUGGGACUGAGAUACGGCCCAGACUCCUACGGGAGGCAGCAGUGGGGAAUAUUGCACAAUGAGCGGAAGCCUGAUGCAGCAACGCCGCGUGCGGGAUGACGGCCUUCGGGUUGUAAACCGCUUUCGCCUGUGACGAAGCGUGAGUGACGGCAAUGGGUAAAGAAGCACCGGCUAACUACGUG